rnacentral:misc_RNA from 1 species
AAGAGAAGAGAGAUUCGUCUCUCGGGGCUUCGGCCUUACCUCUUCACCCUGUGUAAACAUAAUACCUCUGUUGCUUUGGCGAGCCAUGAGAUUUCUCACGCCGACCUCUGGCCGACGAGCGCUCGCCAAAGAUCUUUAAAUUCCGAUUUUCAAUGCAGUCUGAGUAAAACACAAAUAAGCA